rnacentral:tRNA from 1 species
GCGUCUGUAGCUCAGUUGGAUAGAGCAACGGACUUCUAAUCCGUAGGUCGCAGGUUCGAAUCCUGCCAGGCGUA